rnacentral:rRNA from 1 species
AGGCAGCAGUGGGGAAUAUUGCACAAUGGGGGAAACCCUGAUGCAGCGACGCCGCGUGAGUGAAGAAGUUAUUUCGGUAUGUAAAGCUCUAUCAGCAGGGAAGAAAAUGACGGUACCUGAUUAAGAAGCCCCGGCUAACUACGUGCC